AUUGAACGCUGGCGGCAGGCCUAAAACAUGCAAGUCGAGCGGAGCAGCGGAAGGGUGAGUAAUGCCUAGGAAUCUGCCUGGUAGUGGGGGAUAACGUACGGAAACGGGCGCUAAUACCGCAUACUAUCAGAUGAGCCUAGGUGGGAUUAGCUAGUGGGUGGGGUAACGGCUUACCAAGGCGACGAGCCGUAACUGGACUGAGAGGAUGAUCAGUCAAACGGGAACCGAGCACCGGGCCAGACUCCUACGGUAGGCAGCAGUGGGGAAUAUUGGACAAUGGGCGAAAGCCUGAUGCAGCCAUGCCGCGUGUGUGAAGAAGGUCUUCGGAUUGUAAAGCACUUUAAGUUGGGAGGCGUUACCAACAGAAUAAGCACCGGCUAACUUCGUGCCAGCAGCCGCGGUAAUUC
rnacentral:rRNA from 1 species